rnacentral:lncRNA from 1 species
ACAAAAAUACCAUAAGUGAUCAUAUAUCAUGACUGGGAUGCUAUGACUACUCUUAGAUAUAAUUGAUCUUACAAAUCUUUAUAUGAUAUUGUAUAAUCCAAAAUUUCAUAUUAUUCACAAAACACAGCAGAAAUAUAAUAAAAGUCAAGAAUAAUUUUUUGUAGAAUCUUAUAUGACUCAAAAUUUAUAAACUGUAUGAAGUCUAUAUAUUUUACUCUAAAUUUUUAUGAUCAUCGAUCUUAUAUGUGUUUAGAG